GUCCCAGUAGAGCAAUUAGUAGCGCAUUGAACUUCUACUCCAAAGCUCGUGGGUUAGAAUCCCACCUGGGAUG